GCAGUGGUACAGGAAGAAGUCUGCAUCCUUCAAGAAAAACAUGAUUUUCAUGCAGGACAAUGCUCCAUCACACGCGUCCAAGUACUCCACAGCGUGGCUGGCAAGAAAGGGUAUAAAAGAAGAAAAUCUAAUGACAUGGCCUCCUUGUUCACCUGAUCUGAACCCCAUGUGGUCCAUCAUCAAAUGUGAGAUUUACAAGGAGGGAAAACAGUACACCUCUCUGAACAGUGUCUGGGAGGCUGUGGUUGCUGCUGCACGCAAUGUUG